rnacentral:rRNA from 1 species
AUUGAACGCUGGCGGCAGGCCUAACACAUGCAAGUCGAGCGGAGCGGUGGACGGGUGAGUAAUGCCUAGGCAUCUGCCUGGUAGUGGGGGAUAACGUCCGCCAACGGGCGCUAUUACCGAUUACUAUCAGAUGAGCCUAGGUCGGAUUAGCUAGUUGGUGGGGUAAAGGCCUAGCCAGGCGACGAUCCCGAACUGGUUGGAGAGGAUGAUCAGUCACACGGGAAAUGAGACACGGUCCAGACUCCUACGGGAGGCAGCAGUGGGGAAUAUUGGACAAUGGGCGAAAGCCUGAUGCAGCCAUGCCGCGUGUGUGAAGAAGGUCUUCGGAUUGUAAAGCACUUUAAGUUGGGAGGCGUUACCAGCAGAAUAAGCACCGGCUAACUUCGUGCCAGCAGCCGCGGUAAUAC